GUGCUGGCUUCAGCAGCACAUAUACUAAAAUUGGACCAAUGCAGAGAAAAUUAGCAUGGUUCUUGCUCAAGGAUGACACCCAAAUUCAUGAAGUGUUCCAUAUUUUU